rnacentral:rRNA from 1 species
UAAAGGGCUGCAGUAUAUUGACUGUACAAAGGUAGCAUAAUCAUUAGUCUUUUAAUUGAAGACUUGUAUGAAAGAUUUGAUGAAAUAUAAACUGUCUCUAAUUUAUAAAUAGAAAUUAAUUUUUUAAUUAAAAAGUUAAAAUAUUAUUAAAAGACGAGAAGACCCUAUAGAGUUUUAUAAUUUAUUUAUUUAAUUAUAAAAUAUAUAUUUAAAUUUAAUAAAUAGAUAAAUUAUUAUAUUGGGGUGAUAAAAAAAUUUAAUAAACUUUUUUUAAUUAAAUAACAUAAAUAAAUGAAAAAAUGAUCCAUUAUUAAUGAUUAAAAGAAAAAAUUACCUUAGGGAUAACAGCGUAAUAUUUUUUUUUAGUACAAAUAAAAAAAAAAGUUUGCGACCUCGAUUUUGGAUUAAGAUAAAAUUUAAAUGCAAAAGUUUAAAAGUUUUGAUCUGUUCGAUCAUUAAAAUCUUACAUGAUCUGAGCU